rnacentral:rRNA from 1 species
GGAUUAGAUACCCUGGUAGUCCACGCCGUAAACGAUGAUCACUCGUUGCUAGCGAUACACUGUUAGUGACCAAGCGAAAGUGUUAAGUGAUCCACCUGGGAAGUACGUUCGCAAGAAUGAAACUCAAAGGAAUUGACGGGGGCCCGCACAAGCGGUGGAGCAUGUGGUUUAAUUCGAUGAUACGCGAGGAACCUUACCAGGGCUUAAAUGCAGAACGACAGAUUUAGAAAUAAAUCCUUCUUCGGACGGACUGCAAGGUGCUGCAUGGUUGUCGUCAGCUCGUGCCG